GAUGAACGCUGGCGGCGUGCCUAAUACAUGCAAGUCGAGCGAACAGACGAGGAGCUUGCUCCUCUGACGUUAGCGGCGGACGGGUGAGUAACACGUGGAUAACCUACCUAUAAGACUGGGAUAACUUCGGGAAACCGGAGCUAAUACCGGAUAAUAUAUUGAACCGCAUGGUUCAAUAGUGAAAGACGGUUUUGCUGUCACUUAUAGAUGGAUCCGCGCCGCAUUAGCUAGUUGGUAAGGUAACGGCUUACCAAGGCAACGAUGCGUAGCCGACCUGAGAGGGGGGACAGGCACACCGGAACCUAGGCACCGUCCCAGACCCCAAGGGAAGGCACCGGUGGGAAUUCUCCGGAAUGGGGCGAAACCUUACCGAGCCAACGCGGGGUGGGGAAGGAAGGUUUCCGAUUGGUAAACCUUUGUAUUAGGGAAAGACAAAAUGGGUAAGUAACAAUGACGGUCUUACGGGUCCUAAUCAAGAAGGCACCGCCAACUUACGU
rnacentral:rRNA from 1 species